rnacentral:rRNA from 1 species
CAGUAGCCACGGUAAUACGGAGGGUGCAAGCGUUAUCCGGAUUUAUUGGGUUUAAAGGGUCCGUAGGCGGAUCUGUAAGUCAGUGGUGAAAUCUCACAGCUUAACUGUGAAACUGCCAUUGAUACUGCAGGUCUUGAGUAAAUUUGAAGUGGCUGGAAUAAGUAGUGUAGCGGUGAAAUGCAUAGAUAUUACUUAGAACACCAAUUGCGAAGGCAGGUCACUAAGAUUUAACUGACGCUGAUGCACGAAAGCGUGGGGAGCGAACAGGAUUAGAGACCCCUGUAGUCCCUGUCUCUUAUAC